rnacentral:misc_RNA from 1 species
CAAAGUUGCUGCUACCCAACCACUGGCAAACCUGCAGCUGAUUUCGGCAUUCAUGGGCUUUGGCCUAAUUACAAUAAUGGGAAUUACCCUUCCAAUUGUGAUUCUGGUAACCCCUUCAAUCAAAAUAAGAUUUCAGAUCUAAGAAGCAGUAUGGAAAAAAAUUGGCCAACACUGGCUUGCCCAAGCGGCAAUGGAUUGACCUUUUGGUCACAUGAAUGGGAAAAGCAUGGUACCUGCUCUGAGUCGAUCCUUG